rnacentral:rRNA from 1 species
CGGAAACCGGAGCUAAUACCGGAUAAUAUUUGAACCGCAUGGUUCAAAAGUGAAAGACGGUCUUGCUGUCACUUAUAGAUGGAUCCGCGCUGCAUUAGCUAGUUGGUAAGGUAACGGCUUACCAAGGCAACGAUGCAUAGCCGACCUGAGAGGGUGAUCGGCCACACUGGAACUGAGACACGGUCCAG